UGUCAGGACUAAUGGUAGAAGAGACGCUGUUACUUUCGCCUCUAUUUUGGAAGCUCUGUCCCCUCUCCAGAAGUUCUCAUUUUCAGCCCCUCUUUUACUUUCUUUUUUUUUUUGUACCAAUAACUUUUCUUAACAUGGAAUGUGAAAUAUUUGUGUAAUUUACAUUCUUUUUGCUCAAUUCCCUUUCUGGGUUGCCGAAUAAAAUUGGAUAAUCCAAUUUCUGUUUCAAGGUUCAUCCACGGGAUUUCAUGAUGUUAUGGAGGUAAUCAAGUCAGUGACAAUAUUAGGUAUGAUGGUGCCUAUUACUUUGGCUCUAAUUGCUAGAAACUAAGCUUUGUAAAGCUGGAUUAUUUUAGAGUUUUAAGAUUGUUUUUAGGAGUGCUGAGAGUUUAGCAUGCUAUCGUCCAUCUGAAAUACUUGUAGCGGAGGGCACUUUAGGAGAUUAUUGAGGAAUCAAUAAAUUUGUUAAUGUUAAGGUGAACUUUUCGCUGAUGAUUUGAUGGUUGGGAUAAUUGAUGAAGCCAUGAAAAAAAACCCACAUGCCAAAAAAGUUCUAUUUUAGAUGGUUUUUCAAUGACCGUGGUUCAGGCACAAAAGGUGCUUUCCUUUUAAUGUCACAUACUAAUAUCCCUUGCAGUUUUUUUUCCCUUUUUGAAUAUUAUGUUGGCUUUGAUACUUCUUGGGCUUUAACCAUGUUUGUUAUCUUGCAUAGACAGCUUCAUGAGAUGCCUUAGAAGCUACUAACUAAGAUUGACAAGGUGUUGAACUUUGCAACCGACGAUUCCUUUUUUGAGGAGAGGAUCACUGGUUGUUGGAUUGAUCCUUCUAGUGGUUGAAUCUAGCCCACGAAAUUUGCAUCUUCCAAAGUUCUCGGUGUUGAUGAUGAGAUUGAUUGUUGGCUCAAACAAAGCUGAAACUUGUUUGACAAUUGAUGGUGUUGUCUAAGCAAACUUAAUGUGUCCUUAAAAAAAAGCACUGUCAUGUGGUGACAUACUGCCUAAGUUCGGUUUCCCUGUACAUAAAUCAGAUUUUGAGAUUGAUCAUAUAUCUUGAAUUGAGGUUAUCUUGAAGAUGUUCGUGCUCUUAUUGGUGACAGUGUGGAGUAGAUGUCCAUGCAAUUGAUAGGGUGCUUCUUUGAUCUUCCAGGCCUUCUCUAUACGCAAAUAUCAACUGCAAUGUGCUAUCUACCGCUGUCAUUUGUAGACAGACCUCUAUUGUUAGAUCACUUUUGUAGGCUGGCAUCAAGAUGGACUUAAAGGUGAGAGUUGGAUCCUGGUCUUGAUGCUGCGAAGUGGAUAUUCAUGUAGUGGCAAACUCAACUUGCAGAGCCACAAGCUCAGUUGAAGCUGGGAGCUCAUCUAAAGCUGCGAGCUCACCCAAAGACGCGAGCUCAACUCAAGUUGCGAGCACGUUAAAGUGUGAGUUGUUAAGGUUUUUGGUGAACCCUCAGUUAAAAUGCAAGCAGGGUUCACAUAUGCUGAUGUCGAUGUUUUGUUUAGUCUGCUUGUUUGAGAUUACUUGUUAAAGCAAGCAGAGUUAGUAUUGAUUUGAUGUUUUUAAGUACUGAUUUACCUAAUCAGUUUGUGUGCAAGUUUUAUCUUUGCAUUUUCAAGGUGAUUUGGUGGGAUUUGUUGAUUAUUUGUAACCACUAUACCUAUAUAUUGUAAUUCAUGUGGAAUGAGAGGAUGAUGAGAAUUUGAUAGCAAUUCAUAAAAAAUUGCUAAGUA